UCACACACACACACACAUGCACACACACCAAUACCUCCCACACACCCACACACACACACACCUAUAAGUACGCUCACAAGCCGCACGGAAAUUCAUUGAACCAAAACGCCUCAUAAGUGAAGUGCAUUGGCUGGCGUGUGUGGGAUAACGAUCACCGAAGGACACAAGAGACAAAGUGUAAAUAAGCCCGGCAAGUCACCACACUUCAGGGCGGAGAGUGUGGUCCUCAGUGGCUCCUGGACGCCUAACCCGAGAUACAGACUGGCAGGCGUCUCAAGGUACAGUAGAAGUCCGUUAAGCUGAUUUCCGUCCUUCAGAAAAUACAUGUCUAAAUUUUUUGAGAGCAGGAAAUGCAGAAAAGAAAACAGCCUGAAUGCUUGAAGAUGGAAUUACCAACACUCUAAUUUUUUGAAAGCAUGAAAUUCAGGAAAGAAAACAGCCUGAAUGCUUGAAGACAGGGAAUUACCAACACUCUAUAACAGGAAAUUCAGAAAAAAAACCAGCUUAAAUUUUUGAAUAUACAGAAUUACCAACACAAAAUUUUUUGAAAGCAUGAAAUUCAGGAAAGAAAACAGCCUGAAUGAUUGAAGACGGAAUUACCAACACUAAAUUUUUUGAAAGCAUGAAAUUCAGAAAAAAAAACAGCUUAAAUUUUUGAAUAUACAGAAUUACCAACACUAAAUUUUUUGAAAGCAUGAAAUUCAGAAAAGAAAACAGCCUGAAUGAUUGAAGACAGGGAAUUACCAACACUCUAUAACAGGAAAUUCAGAAAAAAAACAGCUUAAAUUUUUGAAGAUACAGAAUUACCAACACUAAAUUUUUUGAAAGCGUGAAAUUCAGUAAAAACAACAGCCUAAAUUUUUGAAGAUACAGAAUUACCAACACUAAAUUUUUUGAAAGCAUGAAAUUCAGUAAAAACAACAGCCUAAAUUUUUGAAGAUACAGAAUUACCAACACUAAAUUUUUCAUAGCCAGAAAUUCAGAAAAAACAACAGCCUGAAUGCUUGAAAACAGGGAAUUACCAACAGUCUAUAGCAGGAAAUUCAGAAAAAAACAGCUUAAAUUCGUGAAAAUACGGAACUACCAACAGUCUAAAUAUCUGAAAGCAGUGUUGACAGAGUGGUCAGCAUAUAGGUGUGGUAUCCUUGAGGCCCCAGGUUCAAAUUCCGUCAGCCUCCACAAGCUGACGGUUCUUAUCCAUCGCUGAGUGGCCUAAGACUACCCACACACCUAUCACUUCGGACUCUAGGUUAACUCAAAAGAUGAUCGAUUAUGAGUUCCGAAGGGCAGUCUGAGGCAAGCAAGGCUACCCACACGCUAUCCUGAAGACCACCUAUCACCCCGGACUCAAGGUUAACUCAAACGAUGAUCGAUUAUGAGUUCCGGAGGGCAGUGUGAGGCAAGCAAGAUGGCGCCACUAGAAACACUUGCCUGCUCCAUAACGCGCAAGGCCGACCACCGGACCCAACCGAGAUAACCAAAAGGCUGGAGGUAACACAGCAUUGAGAGGAAUGUUAGGUUGCUUAAAUGUUAUAAAUGCUUCUUAGAGUACGUCAUUUGUAUAUGUAUAUAGAUGUAUGUAUGAAUAGACUAUAUGUAUUUUUUAUCAGUCUUAUGGAAACUGGAACACACACACACACACACACACACACACACACACACACACACACUCCAUUUUUUUUUCUUUAUCUCCUCUCCUUUUCAUGUUAUCUCUCUCUCUCUCUCUCUCUCUCUCUCUCUCUCUCUCUCUCUCUCUCUCUCUCUCUCUCCCUCCUCCUCCUUACACAUUCAUUCAUCAUUAUCCUUCUCUCUCUUUCCUCCUUCUCAUGUUAUCUCUCUCUCUCUCUCCUUUCCCUCCCUCCUCCAUACAUUUUUCUUAAUCAUUCUCUCUCUCUCUUUCCUCCUUCCCUCUUUACAUUACCUUUCUCUGCACACACACACACACACACACACACACACACACACACUCUACACUUGAGAUGAUAACGGUACAAAAAUAUGAAAAAUAAACCUUGGGUCGUGCAGGACAUCACUCACUCUCUCUCUCUCUUUCUUUCUUCCGCAAAAAACACACACAUAAACUGAGCUACAAAAAAAGAAAGAAAGUUGUUGUAUUUUAAAGCUAAGCCUGGAAAAAGUGAAUUACACAUUAUCUUACUCUAGUUUUAAUCAGAAUAGGCUCCCCCGUAGACACUUGUAUGACCGAACCAAGCUGAACAUUGUCUAAACUCAAGCCCCAACCAAGGCGAACAUUCUCUAAACUCAAGCCCAAACCAAGCUGAACACUGUCUAAACUCAAGCCCCAACCAAGGCGAACAUUGUCUAAACUCAAGCCCAAACCAAGCUGAACAUUGUCUAAACACAAGCCUGAACCAAGCUGAACAUUCUCUAAAC